CCUACGGGAGGCAGCAGUGGGGAAUAUUGGACAAUGGGCGAAAGCCUGAUCCAGCCAUGCCGCGUGUGUGAAGAAGGCCUUCGGGUUGUAAAGCACUUUCAGUGGGGAAGAAAGCCUUGGGGCUAAUACCCUCGAGGAAGGACAUCACCCACAGAAGAAGCACCGGCUAACUCCGUGCCAGCAGCCGCGGUAAUACGGAGGGUGCGAGCGUUAAUCGGAAUUACUGGGCGUAAAGCGCGCGUAGGCGGUCUGAUAAGCCGGUUGUGAAAGCCCCGGGCUCAACCUGGGAACGGCAUCCGGAACUGUCAGGCUAGAGUGCAGGAGAGGAAGGUAGAAUUCCCGGUGUAGCGGUGAAAUGCGUAGAGAUCGGGAGGAAUACCAGGGGCGAAGGCGGCCUUCUGGACUGACACUGACGCUGAGGUGCGAAAGCGUGGGUAGCAAACAGGAUUAGAUACCCCUGUAGUC
rnacentral:rRNA from 1 species